rnacentral:rRNA from 1 species
AGUGAACGCUGGCGGUAGGCCUAACACAUGCAAGUCGAACGGCAGCACAGUAAGAGCUUGCUCUUACGGGUGGCGAGUGGCGGACGGGUGAGGAAUACAUCGGAAUCUACUUUUUCGUGGGGGAUAACGUAGGGAAACUUACGCUAAUACCGCAUACGACCUACGGGUGAAAGCAGGGGAUCUUCGGACCUUGCGCGAUUGAAUGAGCCGAUGUCGGAUUAGCUAGUUGGCGGGGUAAAGGCCCACCAAGGCGACGAUCCGUAGCUGGUCUGAGAGGAUGAACAGCCCCCAUGGAAAUGGGACGCGGCCCAAACUCCUAAGGGGAGACGGGGGGGGAAAAAAUGGAAAUAGGGGGAAAGCCUAAUCCAGCCAUACCGUGGGGGGGAAAAAGGCUUUCGGUUUGAAAAGCCCUUUUGUUGGGAAAAAAAAGCAGCAGGUUAAACCCCCGUUGUUCGGAAGGGGCCAAAAAAAGAAGAACCGGCUAAUUUCGU